rnacentral:tRNA from 1 species
GGAGAUGUGGCUCUAUGGUAGAGUGUUUGCCUUGCAUGCAUGAGGCCUGGGUUUCAAUCCCUAACACCA